rnacentral:rRNA from 1 species
UACGGAGGGGGCGAGCGUUGUCCGAAGUUACUGGGCGUAAAGAGCGCGUAGGCGGGGUGUCACGUCCGCUGUGAAAGCCUGACGCUUAACGUCAGCGGGUCGGUGGAUACGGACACUCUUGAAGGCGAUAGGGGAAGACGGAAUUACCCGUGGAGCGGUGAAAUGCGUAGAGAUGGGUAGGAACACCGGUGGCGAAGGCGGUCUUCUGGGACGUCCUUGACGCUGAGGCGCGAAAGCUGGGGGAGCGAACGGG